GGAAGUGUGGUCUAGUCGGUAGGGCACUGGACUGGGAGUCAGGAGAACUGGAUUCUGUUCCCAGCACUGCCA
rnacentral:tRNA from 1 species